rnacentral:rRNA from 1 species
GACGAACGCUGGCGGCGUGCCUAAUACAUGCAAGUUGAGCGCUGAAGGUUGGUACUUGUACCAACUGGAUGAGCAGCGAACGGGUGAGUAACGCGUGGGGAAUCUGCCUUUGAGCGGGGGACAACAUUUGGAAACGAAUGCUAAUACCGCAUAAAAACUUUAAACACAAGUUUUAAGUUUGAAAGAUGCAAUUGCAUCACUCAAAGAUGAUCCCGCGUUGUAUUAGCUAGUUGGUGAGGUAAAGGCUCACCAAGGCGAUGAUACAUAGCCGACCUGAGAGGGUGAUCGGCCACAUUGGGACUGAGACACGGCCCAAACUCCUACGGGAGGCAGCAGUAGGGAAUCUUCGGCAAUGGACGAAAGUCGGACCGAGCAACGCCGCGUGAGUGAAGAAGGUUUUCGGAUCGUAAAACUCUGUUGGUAGAGAAGAACGUUGGUGAGAGUGGAAAGCUCAUCAAGUGACGGUAACUACCCAGAAAGGGACGGCUAACUACGUG